NAACAUGAUGUAUAAAACGCAUGGAAAGAGGUUUGUAGUUAACCCUACUGAACCCAGGGUUAAGCCAUCCCUCGAUGAAUCCAUACCAAUCGUCUGAUU
rnacentral:snoRNA from 1 species